AACGAACGCUGGCGGCGUGCCUAACACAUGCAAGUCGAACGGGAAAGGGGCUUCGGCUCCGAGUAAAGUGGCGCACGGGUGAGUAACACGUGGGUAACCUGCCUCUAAGAUUGGGAUAACUCGUCGAAAGAUGAGCUAAUACCGAAUAAGACCACAGUUCCCGCGGGAACAGGGGUCAAAGGUAGCCUCUGCUUGCAAGCUAUCACUUAGAGAUGGGCCUGCGCACCAUUAGCUAGUUGGUAGGGUAACGGCCUACCAAGGCAAAGAUGGUUAGCUGGUCUGAGAGGAUGAUCAGCCACACUGGAACUGAGACACGGUCCAGACUCCUACGGGAGGCAGCAGUGGGGAAUAUUGCGCAAUGGGCGAAAGCUUGACGCAGCAACGCCGCGUGAGUGAUGAAGGCCUUCGGGUCGUAAAGCUCUGUCGGGAGGAACGAAUGCUCCUGAGGUUAACAGCCUCGGGAGGUGACGGUACCUUCAAAGGAAGCACCGGCUAACUCUGUG
rnacentral:rRNA from 1 species